rnacentral:rRNA from 1 species
UACGUAGGCAGCAAGCGUUGUUCGGAAUUACUGGGCGUAAAGAGUGCGUAGGUGGUUGGCUAAGUUUGGUGUGAAAUCUCCCGGCUCAACUGGGAGGGUGCGCCGAAAACUGGCUGGCUAGAGUGUGGGAGAGGGAAGUGGAAUUCCUGGUGUAGCGGUGAAAUGCGUAGAUAUCAGGAGGAACACCUGUGGUGUAGACGGCUUCCUGGACCAUUACUGACACUGAGGCACGAAAGCGUGGGGAGCAAACAGG